GCCACUGUAGCUCAGUUGGUAGAGCACCUCACUCGUAAUGAGGGGGUCAGCGGUUCGAUUCCGCUCAGUGGCUCCA
rnacentral:tRNA from 1 species